rnacentral:rRNA from 1 species
AUACGGAGGGUGCAAGCGUUAUUCGGAAUCACUGGGCGUAAAGGACGCGUAGGCGGGUUGGCAAGUCAGAUGUGAAAUCCUACAGCGUAACUGUAGAACUGCAUUUGAAACUGCUAACCUAGAGUAUGGGAGGGGGAGAUGGAAUUAGUGGUGUAGGGGUAAAAUCCGUAGAUAUCACUAGGAAUACCGAAAGCGAAGGCGAUCUCCUGGAACAUAACUGACGCUAAGGCGUGAAAGCGUGGGGAGCAAACGGGAUUAGAUACCCUAGUAGUCC